rnacentral:lncRNA from 13 species
CUCACUCCCUAUCAUGAGAACAGUAUGGGGAAACUGCCACUGUGAUUCAAUUAUAUCCACCUAGUCCCACCCUGGACACAUGGGGAUUAUUUAAAAUUCAAGGAAAUUGACUCUUUGGGUGUGGCAACUCUGUGGUAGAGACAAUGGAAUCACAGAAAAGAAAAGGGAGGCAAGUCCUGAAUCACACACCACAGUGAGUCUGUGUUAAGCUUUAUAUUUCUGGCCAAGUCAAACAAUCCAGUAAACUGAUUUAAGAAUUGGGCAAUAAAAACCCUUGUCUUGAUCA